CUUGUCAAUCAAUCGAUUGGGCAUCAGCAAUUCCAUCAACUAAUCAAACUGUGACCUUUGUACACCACGAAACUGAAGCGCAUAUUGCUAUAUAUAUAUCAGCUCCAGUCAUAGGAAUAAUUCUUUUUUGUGUUGGAUUGUUUUUUUUCAAAAUUAAAAGACGUAGAAACAGAUUAAGACGUAGAAACAGAUUGAGACGUAGAAACAGUUUGAGAUCUGAAGGAGAGUCCGAGACAUUUGAGAGGGAUCCCUUUAUACCUGGAACAGGUAAGAAC